rnacentral:lncRNA from 1 species
GGAAAGUAAACAAGUGCUACAGGGGUCGCUCUUGUCCGGUAGUUGUUCAUUGCAGUGAUGGUGCAGGAAGAAGUGGAACCUACAUUCUAAUUGACAUGGUUCUCAAUAAAAUGGCUAAAGGUGCUAAAGAGAUUGAUAUUGCUGCUACCCUGGAGCACUUGAGGGACCAGAGACCAGGCAUGGUCCAGACAAAGGAGCAGUUUGAAUUUGCUUUGACAGCUGUUGCAGAGGAAGUGAACGCAAUACUCAAGGCACUUCCCCAGUGAGCAGCUCGGUGUCCCGGAGGUUCCCGCAGGAUCCAUUCCUCAUUUCCUCAUCCUCAGUCCCUGUGAAUGUUCUUGGAAACCGUGACCUGACCUUAACUAUGUAUCUUCUGUUGUAACCACAUAGUGGUAGGGUCCUUAGAAACUCCUUUAGCUGGUAAAAGUUCAACAGUUAGAAUGUGUCUUCUGUUUUGGGGUUUUAAAGCAAAUUUUAAAAAAGUACAUCAAAGCCUCGGAUUAAGUGACAGAACAGUCCACCUAAUCCCUCUCUCAUCCUCGAAGACCUGAAUGUCAAACUUGGAAAGCACACAUUCCUGUUCUUAAUAGCAAAUAUUCAGUAUUGUGGGUAACUAGUGCAGUCAAUAUAGUCUCAGAAAACAGUGUUCUGUUGUAUUUCGUAACUCCUUAAAAACCAAAUGAGAGUGAGGGGCCUGAAAGAGAUGGCGAUUGUCCCUCUACAAUGCCAGGCGGAGGCAUGGAACUGUGCAGAGGGUGUGAGUAAACACAGGUCCAGGCUCUGGCAAAGAGAGCUUGCACCUUCUCAUGCUGAGCUUUAGCAAGCAAACAUUUUCUUAACUGUUGUUUACUUUUCAGCUUUGUGCUGUGAAUGGAAGAAAAUCUGAGCUAUAAGUAAAUAGGCCAGCACGGUUGUUGCAACUGGGGAGAACAAGUCGGGCACAUUAAUGGGAACCUGGGGAACAGUGAGCACCACAGCUCUGGCCAAGUACCUACAGUGUGGAGCAGGCAAACAUAGAUGCACCUCCAGCCAUGAGCAAGGCGCCUGGCCCACCAGGUACAUGUCCAGAGCUGGCUGGAAUGGACUGUUGACACUCUGGGAUUACUGAGGAAGAAAACGGGACUCUUCUCUUUAUAAUUUUUGCAUUUUGCUCUUUCAAGCUGUGCUGUGCCAUCCUUUUGAGCCGGGGAAAUAUAUUUCUGUAAAAGCCUGGCUGAAGGAAGAAUCACCGAUCAGCAUUUUAUGAUCCUCAUCGAGUUUGUCUGAG